GAAAAUUUAGUUAAUACAUAACAUUAAUUUGUCAAAUUAAAAUAAUUUCUUAAAAUAAUUUUCU
rnacentral:tRNA from 1 species